rnacentral:lncRNA from 1 species
GUUAACUUGCUCACUGCUUGGGCUGGAUACGAGGUUUCCCUCCUGCUCAGGACAUGCAAAACCCUGUGGUGGCCAAAAGCCAGCACCGUUGCCAUGAAAUGUGCAAUAUCCAGCUCUCUUUACAAGCUCCCUCUAUGUACUGGAAGGCUGCGGUGAGGUUUCUUCAGAGCCUCCUCCUCUCCAGUUUGAACAACUCCAGGUACCUGGACGCCAGAAGAGAAGCAAAACCCCAGUCGUGCUCCUGUGCUGUACUGAUUUCCAGCGGUGCGCUGGCUGCAGUUCCAGGUCCAGGAGCAGCCCUGCGGUGGCUUCAGCAGCACCCUCGCUCACGGGGCUGCAGGUGGGACCACGUCUGGCUGGAGAAAGCUGGGCACGAGGGUGGGGUGGUCCUGUGGGUGUGGGGCGACCCCGCACUGCUGCCCACCGACAUGCUCCUCUCACCUGGCAGGGGGUGCAGGGCACGCAGGACUGACCGCGUCGCCCUAUUUUCUCACCCCAAAGUGAAACAGGGUAAAAAGUAAAAAAAUGAAGCAGGAAUUUCAGAGUGUACCCAGCUCUUUGCUGCUGAGUGAUGAUGUGUGCAUAUAUGUGUUUUGUCGUUGUUACUGUUGUUUUUGAAGGAGAAUAGAGGGGAAUUUGGAAUUUACUCUGUGAAUUGCCAGCCCCAGAUUAGCCAUUUCAAUUCCUGAUUGUAAUCUUGUGUAUAAACGGAUUUUGUUCAGGGUAAUUGGGACUUAACCAUAAAUUUAGCCUUUUGAUGUACCAUUUAAAAAAUUAAAAAAAAUAGUCUGUAUGAUCGGUCUGAAAUUAUUUUUGACAUGCUCUUGGAGUAGUGCUGAAGAAAAAAACAUCCAAAGAGUUGAGAAAAAUGUUGCAGUGAAGUUCAGCUUACACGUGAGAGUACUGGUGGGAACUCUCGUUGUGUUCACCUCGCUGGUCCUUCACUGUGGUAUUGGUGUAUGAUCGUAAUGGGUACCUCCGUAGACAUUGUAGUCAGGAAAAAAAAGGUGAGAACCUAUCGGAUGUGUUACACUGACCACUGCAACUGUCUCACAGCACUCAGCAUUUCUUGGUCAAGGCUGUGAAGGAUUUCAGAUAUUUUCCACCUUUAGCACACUUUAAAUGUACGCUUCAUGACUCUGAUGACAGUCUCCUUGUUAAUGUUUCAUUGCAAUCAAAAAGCCAUUGUUAGAAAAACGACUAUUUCAGUGCCUAUUUUGUUCCCUUGCAGAGCAGAGCUGGUCUCGGUGAUUUGGCUCUCCUGGAAAGUAAUUCAUUCAAAUAAAUGUAAAUCACCUUUUUGCGUUGUUGGGCCG